GCGAGCUACUCUCUCAUCUCUGACCCUAUAUAGCUAGCUAAGACAACUCCUCAUGAAUCAUCAUGCGUCUGCUCCUCCUCCUCCUUCCUUUUUAGCCUUCUUAGCUGUGUGCCUUUGAAUUCCCUCUUCAAUUCCUUGACUCCACUGUGCAUGUAUGAACCUUCCUUUAAUUCACUGUUACACAAGGUGGGAUAUGUCUUUAUGAUAUUAACCCUCUUCCCUUUUUAUUAUAUUCAUCUAUCUCUCUUACAUCUCUGAUCUGUCCCAUUUUUCUCUCACUCUAUAUAUUCAUUCCACUCUCGUUUUCCUUUCUAUCCUCCAGUUCAAACCCCCUCUUGAAUCUUUACCUCCUGUUCAUUCUUUCCUACCUUAUAAGUGUUAAAAUGAAAUCACAUAGCAUGCACCUUCUUUCUUUAUCUCUCUACCUUCAAGGUUUCCAACCCUUUUUCCUCCUCCUCCUCUUUCCUAGCUUAAUUAUUUUAUUGUUUAAGUUAGGUUAAUGCAUCAAACAUCCUCUUCUCAUUUUUCUAAACACUAUCUAGUUUCAAAUUUUUUAUUGUGUCCACUUGCGUUUAUGUAUGCACACAUGACAUGUGUCUUCUAUCUCCCAGCUUUAAGUGUGUGAUCACACUCCUUUUUGGUGGUGGUCUAUAUAUCUUUUUGUGGUUUCGGAAGUGUGUUGCAAUGUUUCUUUUCUUCUUUUAAGCGUAGUAGCUCACAUAUAUGCACCUGCAGAGAUAGUGAGUGGAGUUGAGCCGUAACAUGAAACUGUUUAGAUUGGAAGUUCGCAAAGGAAAAAGUGAAGCUGCCAGCAUGAUCUACCUUUGGUUAGAGAGCUCAAGAGUGCUAACCCUGACUAGGUCAUGCUGUGACAGCCUCACUCCUUCCUAUUUGGGGACCCAUUGUAGAUUCUUCAACAAUCUGAAAGACACACAAGGCUUAAAAAGCAAAAGGUAAGAAGCGAGUGAUGAGCAUGAGAAAAUUCACUGCUAGCAUCGUAUAUUCCUUUCUUUUCUUUUUUCUGAGUUUCUGUUCUGGCAGGCGUGCGUUAUCAACUUUUCCCUUUUACUUGCUCUUGUCUUUUUCUUUUUUUUUUUGCUACUUCUUUCACCGAACUAGUUCACUGUGUUAUGUCUUUGGGACCAAACUUUUAAAUUGAUGGCCGUAGAUUGCUCCUUAUCUUUACUUAAUUAGGGUUCCUACAACCCUAGGAUGUUUAUGUUAUUCUAGUAUCAAAUUUAUUCAUUAUGAUUUUCUUUAGAUUGGCUUGAAUUUCUAAACCCUAGAGGUAGUUAUUUUGAUGUUUAAGUUGCUAUGCAUGUGUGAGUGUUAUGUAGUGUUAUGUGGAGUCAUAGUUUAUGCAGCUUAAUAUAAGACAUGUUCCUCUUUUGUGUCCAUGAUGUGUUUUUCUCUUGAUGGUUGCAUCUACUUAUUUUCCUUCAUUAAAUGUUAAAAUAUACGUAAUUAAGACGCGCAGUUGUUGAGGUUCAAAGCAGUGAAUUUGAGGCAGAGAUAAACACUCUUGCAGAAAGCAGGUUCAGAAGAUUGUUGAUUACUAAAUAUGCUCGAUUUUGGUUUUAAAAUGGAGGGAUUUGUGACCUAUAACUCUAAUUAUGUCUAUGCUGAGAACAAAUAGUGAUCGCCAUGCGGAUGCAAAAGGGAAUACUAACGGUGAUCAAGGCUAACUACAGUAAGAAGAUAUUGCGAAAAAGAAAAUAACGAACUAGUGUAUAAUGUUUACUGUUCAACACAGCGAAGUAUGAACGUAUUAUAUAUAUGUAGUAUUUUCCUCAUCUCAUAUUUUGAUCUUUAAUUUUCACAGACUUCAUCGAUUUGUCCAUAUACAACAUUAAUGAAGUAUCAACAUAAGUAUCCAAGA